UUUCCUUUAACCAACGUUUCGCUGCUUUGUCAGCAAGGCUCUUUCUUUCCUUCUGUGAGGUUAUCGCAAAUUUCCGAAGCUGUCUUACGUGUCGUGUUAUAGCAGCGCAAGACGUCUGCAUCUUGCUCCUACUUAUUUAUUGAAUGCUGUGCACAGUCCCUUAGCAUCAACAUCGCCACUAAGUGGCAGCCGUGAGUCUGUGAUCAGCGAAGAAGCGUAUAUUCCCUCUGAGGUAAAAAUUGAAUGGAAGUACAAGAAACGUAAAACGUUCGAAUGCAGGAAGGAGGAGGCUGAUGAGAUUCGAAGGUUGUAUCCUUCUAGUGUACCCAUUAUCUUAGAAAGGGUUUUAAAUUCAAGGACCCCUACUGCUCAGAAGGAGAAGUAUCUUGUGCCUCGAAAUCUAACGGUUGGAGGACUGAUACACAAGAUUAAGAAAACGAUGAUUCUACAUCCUGAUACGUCAUUAUUUCUUCUGUGCAAAAAUGGCAUACUUCAGUCAAGUUUGACUAUGGGCGAACUUCUUGACGAAGAGCGUGAUGAAGAUGGAUUUCUCUACCUUUGCUAUCUAGCCAGAAACAGUUACAAUUGUACUAGAGAGGCUGGUAGAAUUUUAUAAUUACUUUCUGUACUUAAUCCCGAAAAUAUGUAACUUUAAUGAAAUUUUUAAUUGUUUAGAUUCUACCAUUGUUAAUAAAGCCAUUAUGUUAAUUAAGGAGAGUUGAAAUUUUCAACACUCUCCUUGCUUUAUUAUGUGAUGAAAGUUUAACUGUAUGUAUUACUUGUAUGAGUUUAGUUGAUUGAAGCAUUCUCGGGAAAUACUUUCCUUUAUGUUUUUUAAAUAAAUUUUUUAUGAGAACAA